rnacentral:rRNA from 1 species
AUAUCAAUAAGCGGAGGAAAAGAAACCAACAGGGAUUGCCUCAGUAACGGCGAGUGAAGCGGCAAAAGCUCAAAUUUGAAACCACUCCGGUGGGUUGUAAUUUGAAGAUUGUGUUCUGGACACGACCACGCCUAUGUUCCUUGGAACAGGACGUCACAGAGGGUGAGAAUCCCGUGCGGCGUGGCCCCCGUGUCUCUAUAGUUCACUCUCGACGAGUCGAGUUGUUUGGGAAUGCAGCUCAAAGUGGGUGGUAAAUUCCAUCUAAAGCUAAAUAUUGGCGAGAGACCGAUAGCGAACAAGUACAGUGAUGGAAAGAUGAAAAGCACUUUGAAAAGAGAGUGAAACAGUACGUGAAAUUGUUGAAAGGGAAGGGCAUGCCGUCAGAUUGCCAGUAUCGAUUGGAGGGGAGGGACAAAAGCAGAGGAAUGUGGCCUUCGGGUGUUAUAGCCUCCGCCAAUACCUCCACCCCCGAUCGAGGACUGCUUUUAGGAUACUGG